AUACAGUAGAUGUGCUGGUACCAUAGGCUGACUCCUGGUGCUGUAUGGUCUCAUGAUUCCCAGGCCAGAAUUUUGGGUUCUGUACUAGAAUGUGGAAUUGAAUGAGGAAGAAGAUGUAAUCUAUGGUCCAAAAAUCUUCUGACGGAGAAGGAUAGCGGGAUUGCAAUUGUGGACAAGACCGAUCUGAUGUCUGCCCUCCCAGAGUCUACAGUACGGUGGAUGCUAUAGAUUCACAGUUACAACUCACGGCCAGUCAUUUGCCAAAUUUGAGCUUUCGACCCUUCUACUGAAACUGUGUUUGCAUUGCUCUCGAAGGAGGUGGUAGGAGGGCCAUGAGCCGUGGAGCAAGGAAUUCGACUCAGCCACGGUUCCAUCCUGGCUCCUCCACUUGCAAGCUGGUAACCUCACCCCAGUUACUUAAAU